AUACGGAGGAUCCGAGCGUUAUCCGGAUUUAUUGGGUUUAAAGGGAGCGUAGGUGGAUUGUUAAGUCAGUUGUGAAAGUUUGCGGCUCAACCGUAAAAUUGCAGUUGAAACUGGCAGUCUUGAGUACAGUAGAGGUGGGCGGAAUUCGUGGGGUAGCGGUGAAAUGCUUAGAUAUCACGAAGAACUCCGAUUGCGAAGGCAGCUCACUAGACUGUUACUGACACUGAUGCUCGAAAGUGUGGGUAUCAAACAGGAUUAGAUACCCUGGUAGUCCACACAGUAAACGAUGAAUACUCGCUGUUUGCGAUAUACAGUAAGCGGCCAAGCGAAAGCAUUAAGUAUUCCACCUGGGGAGUACGCCGGCAACGGUGAAACUCAAAGGAAUCGACGGGG
rnacentral:rRNA from 1 species